AUACGUAGGGAGCGAGCGUUGUCCGGAAUUACUGGGCGUAAAGGGCGCGUAGGCGGGAUAUUAAGUCAGGUGUGAAAACUCCGGGCUUAACUUGGAGAUGGCACAUGAAACUAAUAUUCUUGAGUGCAGGAGAGGAAAGUGGAAUUCCUAGUGUAGCGGUGAAAUGCGUAGAUAUUAGGAGGAACACCGGUGGCGAAGGCGGCUUUCUGGACUGUAACUGACGCUGAGGCGCGAAAGCGUGGGGAGCGAACGGGAUUAGAUACCCCGGUAGUCCACGCUGUAAACGAUGGGUACUAGGUGUAGGAGGUAUCGACCCCUUCUGUGCCGGAGUUAACGCAAUAAGUACCCCGCCUGGGGAGUACGGCCGCAAGGUUGAA
rnacentral:rRNA from 1 species